rnacentral:rRNA from 1 species
GUAACGUGUGGGCAACCUGCCCUGCACUGGGGAAUAAUCAUUGGAAACGAUGACUAAUACCGCAUACGGUUCCUGGGAGGCAUCUUCCGGGAAAGAAAGGAUUUAUUCGGUGCAGGAUGGGCCCGCAUCUGAUUAGCUAGUUGGUGAGAUAACAGCCCACCAAGGCGACGAUCAGUAGCCGACCUGAGAGGGUGACCGGCCACAUUGGGACUGAGACACGGCCCAAACUCCUACGGGAGGCAGCAGUGGGGAAUAUUGCACAAUGGGCGAAAGCCUGAUGCAGCAACGCCGCGUGAAGGAAGAAGGGUUUCGGCUCGUAAACUUCUAUCAACAGGGACGAAAGAAAUGACGGUACCUGAAUAAGAAGCCCCGGCUAACUACGUGCCAGCAGCCGCGGUAAUACGUAGGGGGCAAGCGUUAUCCGGAAUUACUGGGUGUAAAGGGUGAGUAGGCGGCAUGGUAAGCCAGAUGUGAAAGCCUUGGGCUUAACCCGAGGAUUGCAUUUGGAACUAUCAAGCUAGAGUACAGGAGAGGAAAGCGGAAUUCCUAGUGUAGCGGUGAAAUGCGUAGAUAUUAGGAAGAACACCAGUGGCGAAGGCGGCUUUCUGGUCAUCNUGACGCUGAGGCACGAAAGCGUGGGGGAGCGAACAGGAUUAGAUACCCUGGUAGUCCACGCCGUAAACGAUGAGUGCUAGGUA